UACGUAGGUGGCGAGCGUUGUCCGGAUUUACUGGGCGUAAAGCGCGCGCAGGCGGUUCUGUAAGUCCUGGGUGAAAUCGCCCGGCUCAACUGGGAGGGGGCCAUCCAGACGGCGUGGCUUGAGGCUCGGAGGGGGGCGUGGAAUUCCGGGUGGAGCGGUGAAAUGCGUAGAGAUCCGGAGGAACACCGACGGCGAAGGCAGCGCCCUGGACGAGACCUGACGCUCAGGCACGAAAGCUGGGGGAGCAAACAGG
rnacentral:rRNA from 1 species